rnacentral:lncRNA from 1 species
AGAGAGGGAGCAAUAAAGGAUGUCUAAGGUCAUCAGCAACUUAAAGCCAACAGCAUCAUCCUGAGUCAUAUUUGAACCUGAGGGAAAGAAACAUAUGUUCGAAGAGAUUCUGAGGCUGCUGCACCCGAUAUCAUACCUGGUUGGCCCUGGGAAAGGGCCCGCCUCCAAUACAUAAACACAACCAGCUUUGACAAUGAGCCCUGAAGCACGGCAUUGAGAAGCCGCCUAAGAAGGAGGCAGGUCCAUCAGCCUUGGUGCCCGACUGAUUACCCUGAGCAGAGCUCCCCAGCCCACCUGUGAUGGACACAUGGAGCUUGAGCAAGGAAUAAAUUUUUGUUGCUGGACUCUGUGAUUACACUGGACCUAUCCAAGAUCCGAGAUAAUCAACUCAUCUCAAAAUCCUUAAGUUGACCACAGCAGCAUCGUCCCUUUUGCAGUGUAAGGGAGCCCAGCUGGGACAGUGUGUGAAUCAACGCAUGAAGGAGUGAGUGAGCAGCUAACCAAAUGAAGGAACACUCAAAUAUCUGGGGUACAGUUCCCCUCCAGGUUUGCACAGCAUCUGCUGAAGUCUCCACUAGAAACUCAGUGGAAGGUCCCUAUCAGAAACUGAAAGUCUCCUAGAACAGCUUUGAGUUGUGGUUUUACCCUCCCUGCAGAUCCACAGGGGAGGCUGGGGCAGAUGAAAAAUACCAACUUGAGGGUCUGUGGCCACACCAUGCUGCUCCCCAAGGUGCCUCAGACUUUCACUGCCCAAUAUGGUAGCGCCCAGCCUGAAACGUGGCCAGUGUGAAUUGAGAUGGGCUGUAAAUAUAUCAGACUUCCAAGAGUUGGACAAAAACCAUAUAUGUAAAAUAUCUUAUUUUUACAUAUUUAUACUGAUGACACUAUGAAAUCAUAUUUAGGGUAUUUUCUGUUACAUAAAAUACAUUGCUAAAAUUAA